rnacentral:sRNA from 1 species
CCCACUUAAUAAAAUAGAAGAUUUUGGUGUACACUGCAAACAAUAUUAUGCCUUAGAAGUCUCAUAUUUCAAAUCCUCUUUGGAUCGCAAAUUGCUCGAGCUAUUGUGGAAUAAAUACUGGGUGAAUACGUUGAGUUCCUCUAGCUUGCUUACUAGGCAAGUAUACUAAUAGCAGCCAGAAGUGACACCUGAUGGCAAGGGGAGAAAACACUGUUAAGACCAGAGCAGUCUGAACCUUUGUAUAAGGCAAGCAGAUCUACCUACUCAGCCCAAUGUCUCUGUCCCUGUAUUCCAGCAUUGCAUAGAUGAGGACAUUAAUAAUCAAGAAAAGAAUGCAGACUAUACCACUGGUCAGGUCUUUGAUUUGUCUGAAAAGUUAGAGCAGUCAGAAGCCCAGCUGGGACGAGGGAGUUUCAUGUUGGGUUUAGAAACGCAUGACCGAAAAUCAGAAGACAAACUUGCCAAAGCUACGAGAGACAGCUGUAAAACUACCAUAGAAGCUAUCCAUGGAUUGAUGUCUCAGGUUAUUAAGGAUAAACUGUUUAAUCAAAUUAACAUCUCUUAAACGGUCUCUGAGAAGUACUUUACCUGAAAGACAGUAUGAGAAAAAUAUUCAAGUAACACUUUAAAACCAGUUACCCAAAAUCCGAUUAGAAGUAUAAGGUGCUCUGAAGUGUCCUAAAUAUUAAUAUCCUGUAAUAAAGCUCUUUAAAAUGAAA